ACUGCAGUAGUGAAAAUGAAGCGCACGAUGGGCGGAAGCUAGGAAGACAAACAUAAAGAUGAAGUGCUUAAUUCAAGGUCACACAAUGUCGGGGAUGGACCUCCAGAUUUCCUUACUGUACUUAUCCUGUAUUACAUGAAGGAAAUGAAAUAAAAAGACUGCAGCCCCACUCCCAGCUACUCAGUGAGGUGGUAGCUAGGUAAGAAAACAACCCUUUCCUUUUAGAUGAAAUUGGAACUUAGGAGGUAGUAAUCUUUGGGAGAGGCUUAAAGGGAUUGAUAAUGAUGAUAACAAAAAUAAUAGUAAUGGCCAGCUUUGAUGAACCGGGCACUGUGCUAAGAACUUUAUGUUGGUUGCCAUCUUCUGACAACCAUAUGAUUCCGGUACUAUGAGAAGUAGAGCCAGUGUAGUAGGAGUGAGGAGCAUAGACUAUGGGGUCGGACCUCCUGCUUUGACACCUAAGUUUUGCCGGUAACUGACUGUGUGGCCUUGAACAAGAAAACUGUGCCUCAUUUGUACGGAUAGUCCCUGACUUACAGUGGUUUGACUUACAAUUUUCAACUUUACGAUGAUGCAAAAGCCAUAUAUGUUAAUUAGAAACUGCACUUGAAAUUCUUAAUUUUGAUAUUUUCCUGGCCUACUGACACGUUCUCAUGAUGCUGGGCUGCAGCAACAAGCUGCAGCUCCCACUCAGCCGUGCAGUCAUGAAGGCAAACAACCAAUACUGCACACUGUACUGUGUUUAAUAAAUUACAUGAGAUAUUCAAGUUUAUAAUAGGCAUUGUAUUAGAUGAUUUUGCCAAGCUAGAGGCUAAUGUUAAGUGUUCUGAGCAUAUUUAAGAUAGUCUAGGCUGAGCUAUGAUGUUUGGUAGGCUAAGUGUAUCAAAUAUGUUUUUGACUUACGGUAUUCGAGAUGUAACCUCAUCAUAAGUCAAGGAACAUCUGUAUUUGUACAAUGAGGAUAAUGAUAAUACCUGCCUCCUAAGAUGGUGGUGACGGUUAAAUGCCAUCAGCUAUGUAAAGUGCUUAGCAUAGUGCUUGGCACAUAGAAAGUGCUUACCAAAUGUCAGCUAUUAUCAUAAAAAUUAAAAUAGUUGUUAUUCUCAUUUAAAAGAUGGAUAAACAAAGGCUUAGAGAAAUAAGGUAAAUAAAGUAAUUUGUGUAAGUCACACAGCAUAUAAAUGACGGAAUUAGUUUGCACCCAGGCAGUCAAACUCCAGAGCUUUUGCUAACCAUUACGCUGCAUCACCUUAGUAGGUUGAGAGGAAGACUGGGCAAAAACUGCAUCUUGUCAAACUUGAGUGUAGGGGUAAAGGUCAGGCUUGAGUUCUGACUUACCUAACCUUCAUUGUGAUCUUAAGCAUCUUAUCAGUGUAGCAUGUGCCUCGAUUAUUCUCUGAAUUGAUUCUUCCCUAGAUCCAAAGACAUGAAUGAUAGGUUAGUUAUAUUCUUCUCCUGCUGAGGGAUUGGGUGUUCCCUGGACCGGGAAAUGGAGCUAAACAAACACCUAUGUCUCAGUGCUUUUUGGACCAUAAGUAAGAGCUUGUCCGGCCUCUCUUGUUAUUAUGCUUGUUUAUUUUUUCACAUGACUGGUAAUGAUGAGAAGCAGAACAGCAUACACAUUGAGAAUUUUCUUUUUUUUUUUUCUUUGAGACGGAGUUUUGCUCUUGUUGCCCAGGCUGGAAUGCAAUGGCGUGAUCUCACCUCACCGCAACCUCCGCCUCCCGGGUUCAGGCAAUUCUCCUGCCUCAGCCUCCCAAGUAGUAGCUGGGAUUACGGGCAUGUGACACCAAGCCCGGCUAAUUUUGUAUUUUUAGUAGAGACAGGGUUUCUCGAUGUUCCUCAGGCUGGUCUUGAACUCCCAGCCUCAGGUGAUCUGCCUGCCUCAGCCUCCCUAAGUGCUGGGAUUACAGGCGUGAGCCACUGUGCCUGGCCACACGUUGAGAAUUUUCUACAUGCUAUGUACUCUACAUGGAUUAUCUCAUUUAAUCCUUAAAAAUAACCUCAUGGUGACUCUUAUCCCCGUUUUAUAGAGUUGAAGAGAGGUUAGAAAACUUGCUUCAAGUUGCACAGUUAAUAAGUAGUAGAGCAGGGAUUUAAAUAAGGCAGUCCAUCCUGAG
rnacentral:lncRNA from 1 species